UACACUUGUGAAGCGGGAGAGAGAGGCGGCGGAGCGGGCGUUUAGAAAUGAUGAGAAAGUAACAGUGCAGAGAUUUCAGUCUUUAUAUUGACUGUUGUCAAAAACGUCUGCAGCUUGGACAAGAUGAAAUCUGCGUGAACAGUCAUCAAAUCACGAGACACGGGUGAAAUGAGGCACUGUCUGUGUAACUGCAGUGCAACAGUCGUUUGAGUUAUGAUGGAAGCCAUCCAGGAUGCCGCACAGGAACAGCCUGAGAAGCCUAAAACCAAAGUGGAGGAGCGAGAGGCUCUGAUCCUGGAACUACAGGAUGUCAUCACUGAGCUACACCAGGAGAUGUCUCUGAAAGAACAGCACGAGCUCCAGCAGCUUAAACAGCUCCUUCAGCUGGAGGCCAGAGUCAAAGAGCUUCAAGAGCAGGUGCAAGGUUCAGAGGAGACUAUAGCUCAGCUGAGACUAGAGCUGGCUGAGAAAGCAGAGAGCAGCAGCACCACGCUGAAUGUCGCUUCCACUCAUCUCACCACCCUCAGAGGAACAGAGCUGUUGAAAAGUGAGUUGUCACGUCGGGACGCGAGCAUCCAAAGACUCCGGCAAGACCUGCUCCUCUCUCAUCAGGCCCGUGACGCCCAGAGCGUUCAGCUGGACGUCCAAGAGCAGAGACUGUGGGAUCUGCAGAGAGAGCUGCAAGUAAGCCAGCAGGAGCUCCAGAGGGGACACGACUGCAACCAGAAGCUGCACAGGCAGCUACAAGAUGCCAGGAAGCAAGAUCAGGAGCUGCAGGUUCAGCUCUCAGAGGUGAAACGGAAUCUGGUGAAGCAGCAACUGGAGAAUGAAGCUCUUCUGGGAAUCAAACGACACCAGGCCACUAAGGUGGACAGAGUCACUGCGGAGUUUGGCUUGGUUCGGUCCACGGCGGAGCAAAAGAGCAAAGAGGCCCAAGAAGCUAGGAAGAAAUGCCACGAACUGGAGAAUGAGCUGUCUGUUGUCCGAGCCCAGCUGAGCCGGUGCCGGGAAGGGACGCGGGGUGCCAAAAACACAGCUGAGCAGAUCCAGCGGCUGGAGGAGGAAGUGUCCAGGCUGAAAUCUCAGCAUAGUUCAGUCAGUCAGCAGGAAUGGUGUCGGCUCCGGAGGGCACAAGAGGAUCUGAAAGCGAGAGAAGAGGAGUGGAAGAAAGAGAGAUCCUUCCUUCAAGAGCAGCUCGAUGGCGUCAGAGAGGAGCUCCACCGCGCCAACCUCAGGGAAGAAGAGCAUCGGCUGAAAGUGCUGCAGAUUGAUGAACUCCAAAGAGAGGUUGACAAGACGCUGGCAUUGCUUGAAAAGGAGAGAGAGGAUUGUGUAAAGGCCGAGGAGCUGGAACGACUGAGAGAAGAGCAACUCAAGGACAAGGUCAGGCAUCACGAAGAGCUGAUCCCAGAGCUGCAGAAAGAGCUGGAAAAGGCUGGAUUUGACCAGAAGGAGAAAGAGCUGAAGGAAUGGAAAGAGCGCUGGUACUCCGUCUCAGAGAGCCUCCGGCACGCACACACACAGCUCCAGCAGGCCCAGGACAGUCUGGAAAUACAGCAGGAGAUCAACCGCAGCCUGCAGGAUGAUGUAGACAAGCUCCGUACUGCGCUAGUGGAAGAGCAGUCCACAGUCUCCAGGCUGCAGCAUGAGCUACAGGAAGCAGAACAUCAGAGGGAUCUCCUGGACUCCAGGGCAGCUGAGCUGAACUGUGACAUCCAGCUGAAAGACUGCAGGCGGCUCGCUGAGCAGGACGAGGUGUCCAGUAGAGAUGAGACGGUUCUGAGACUGACAGCAGACCUGCGGGCCGCUCAGGAGAAUCUGACCGCUGCACAAGAGGAGCUGGCAGAGCAGAUGCAGAAGGUCACGUCUAGGGAAGAGGAGGUUGUGGCUCUGCAGAAGGAGGUGCGCAGACUUCAGGAGAUCCUGAAACAGAGAGAAGAUAUGAUGGAGAAGAGCAAACACAGCACGACACAGCUCAAGCGAGAGACAGACUCCCUUUACAGACAGUGUGAAGUCCAAAAGGAGGAGCUGUGUGAUCUGCGUGAGGUGGUGCAGCAGUGGCAACAGGAGGCGCAGAAACAGAAGGAGAGCCGGGUGAAGGAGGUGCAGGCCCUUAAGGAAGAGCUGCAGAGCACACAAAGCCAUCUGCAGACGCACAGAGAUAACCAGGAGAGUCUGUGCCGAGAGCUGGAGACGUCCCACAGACAACAGAGAGACACGGAGGAUGAGGCCUCCUGCAGGGCGGCAGCUCUCCGCAGUCAGGAUGCAGACUUGAUUGAGCUGAAGGCAGGUCUACUGGAGGCUGAGAAACUGGCCACGGACGCAGAGGCCCGACUGCAACCUCUUAGCGAAUCCCUCGAGCUCUGCAAACACAAGUACCAGGCCUGCCUCAGCAAGAUCGCACAACUGGAGAACACACUGCAUGGCCGCGAGGAGGACCUGAAAGAAGCCCACAGUCAGGUGGCACAAAGGGAAGAGCAGGUCCUCCGUCUGAGGGCUCAGGUUGUAGCUCUGCAGGGGGAUCUGCAGGUACACUGCGCCCAGCUGGAGAGUGGAGACGAUGCCCUCACCACUCUGAGCCAGCAGCUCCGAGACACACUGGGAGAGCUGGAGCACAGCCGUAAACACAGCCAGGAAUGUGAGCUGCUCAUCAGCACUCUCAGAGACACCGCUGCUACUCUUCACCGACAGGCUGAAGAGCAAGAAGAGACGGUAGUGAAGACACAGGCUGAUUUCUCCAUCUACCGGGCCACUCACGUUCACUCCGACUCAGACUACGAAUCCCAGCUGUCCCGCGUUCAGGAAUUGGAGCACGCACUGUUCCAGUCGUUGGAGCGCUGUGGUCAGAGCACCCAGGAAUUGAGGGUUUGCCAGCUGGAGUUGGCACGGCACCGAGAUUCCAGUACGGCAGAGGUGCAGCGGCUGCAGGAACAGGUGAGAAAGCUCCAGGCGGAUGCAGCAGAUGAGGGCCAGAGACGAGCACAAGUUGAUUCCCUGGAACAGAAGGUAGCCAAUCUGGAAGGAGAGCUACAGGCAGCUCAAAGGCAGUGUGAUCAGGCUAUCCAGAAGAGAGACGCCCUACUGAGACAGUCCGAGGCUGAUCUUCUGCAGGCGCGGGAGAAGAUCCGAAGGAAGGUGGCGGAGGCAGAGAGGCAGGCCGUCUCUGCUCGAGGGCUGGAUGCUGAUCUGCAGAGAGCCAAGAAAGAGAAAAGGCAGAGGGAGAAAGAGUGCGCCUCACUCAAAACACAGAUGCUUCAGCUCAGAGAACAACUGAAGGAGGCUCAUGCCACCUGCAGAGACACGGCCCAGGAGCUGAUGCAGCAGCAGGAGAAAGAGCAGCUGUUGGAGAGAGGUCAGCGUCUGGCUCAGGAGCAGCUCUCAGAGCGUGUGGCGGAGGUGGUGCGGGCAGAGAAAGCCCAAAGGAGACUCCAGGCAGAGCUCAAGAGAAUAACAGAGUGUCUGGAAAGCACUCAACUGGAGCUCCAGGACUCACGGAGGAUGCUGGAGCGUGUGAAGACAGAGGCCAGCAGCAGCAGACAGGAAGCCCUGAGACUCCAGCAGGAGAAACAGCAGAUCCAGGAAGAGCUGGACAUCAGCAGAGAGACCAUCGCAGCUUUGCAGACUAAGCUGCGUGAACAGGAGAAGCUUCUAAACACACAUCAGGAGCGUGUUUCUGAGCUGCAGCUCACCAUCCACAGACUGCAGGAAGAGGAAGUGAACAGCCAGACUCAGCUGCAGCUGUGCAGGAGAGAUUUGGAGAUCAAAGAUGAACAAGUGCAGAAGCACUACCAAGAGAUGAGCGUUCUGCAGGCUACAGUGUCCAGGCUGAAGCUGGGUCUGGAGCAGGAGCGGGAGAGGUGGCGGCAGGGGAUACAAGAGGCAGCCAAGGCCGAUCAGAGAGGGAGAGAGCUGAGACUGGAGCUCAGCACAGCACAGGCCUCCCAUAAAGAGUAUAUGGAGCUGCUGGCUGAGUACAGUCGAGAGGUGACGGCCCAGAGGAGUGAGCAGGCCCGUCUGCAGCAGUGCCUGAUCCAGCUGACAGAGGAGAGGACGACUCAGGAGGAGCGAGUCAGACAGAUGAGCGCAGAUCUACAGAGAGCGCACAACGAGAGCAGGUGCUCUCAAGAGGAGGCUCGGGCGUGUGAGGGGCGACUGGUGGAGCUGCACACCCAGCUGACGCGCUCACAGCAGCAGAUGACGGCCCUGCAGGCCAGAGACGAGGACGUGCUCAUGCUUAAGAUGGAGAUGGCCUCUCUCAGAGACAACUACACUGCUAAAGUAGCUCAGGUCGAGGCUUUGCUCUCACAGAUGGACGCUGUCAAUCAGAAGUACAGUGCAGCUGUGUGUGAGGCCGAUGUUCUGCGGCAGUGUUUAGGAGACGCACGGAGUGACAGCUCUCGACUUCACAGGGAAAGUGAGCUAGUCGUGACUAAUGUGAACCAGUGGGUGAAGGAGCAAAACAUCAUGGUUCAUUGUGACAGCAGCUCGCAGCUUCCUCACUGCAGCCCAUUAUCUCUGCCCCUGCUCCACUCCAGGCACACUAAUGAGAAACUGGCACUCAAGAUCAAAGACCAGAGCAGGAAGAUCAUCCACCUGACAGCUGAGAGAGAUCACCUUCAGGAGAAUGUGAAGGGUUUACAGGGGGAAAUCAGGAGGCUGAAAGCAGAGCUGGAUAAAGAGAGAAUGGAAGCAGAGCGACUGAAGAGGGCAUAAGGCUCGACUAAAAACCUUGAUGAACUGUUGAAGAAUAAGAGUGCUCAUUAUAUCUGGGGAACGUGCCGUAGAAUGUGUCGGUAGCCUUUGACCUUUCAUCUUCCACGCAACAGUGGUCAGACCUUCAGAGCUCUCAGAAAUCAAAAGCAGAGUGAAGAAUGAGGCCGAGGAAGAAGAAAGCACUUCCUGACCACCAGUGCUAGUCAGUGCCUGAUCGACGCGGAUGGCUAUAGAACUGUUUUCUGCAAACAAACACACUCUUGGAUCCUUUCUUCAUCAAUGACUCGGUGAUUAUCAAAUGAUGACUGAUAAUGACCUUACGACAGAUAAAUGAUUGACAGCCCAAAUAGCCAAUGAAAUCAAUUUGCCGACUUCUGUCCAUCAAGCUCACUGAAUUGUAUGUCAUACAAUCCACUAUCUGUCUCCAGCAUUAUGGUAAAAAGGUCUUGUUACGGUGCAUGUAAUUCAGAUAACAGGUAUGCUGAGAGGCUAGUGAAUGGAGUUUUGUUUGUUCCAUUCCUGAAACCAGUCAUUAGUCUCGAGAAAAAAAGAAGAAAAAAAGCACUAAACUUCUGAAUGAUUGUCCAAAACAUCUCUAUGUUUGCACAAAGGAAAGGAAUAGUACAAUACAGUGUGAUAAAUGUUUACAAAUAGGGGAAACAUUAUGUUCCUGGUCAAUUUGUUGAAGUUGUAGAAAAUACUGAUUUGCUUUGGAUGUUUUUACUUGAAAUUGUGUGAAUAUUUGUCAGUUAAGGUCUUUAACAUGCUCACAAAGUUUCGACACUUUGACCUAAAUUUCAUGGUUAAAGGCAGGUGCACAGACCCAAAAUAGUUAAUGCUUAUGAUUUUUGGAGCUUUUUGUUAAUGCCAUGCUCUACUGUUUGAGCUUCAGAAAAGCACACACACAAAAAAAUUAAAAUACUGUUUAUAAUGUUCACAUUUUGUGAAAAACAGAUGUUUAAAAAAAAAAAAAAAAGUUUACUUUUUACUCAUGUUUACUUUUUUUGUAAUGUGUAAAAAAUAUUAAUGUUAAAGGUGUUUUUUUUUUUAGGUGAUGUUAUUUUUGGUUGAUUGUGUUGAAUCCAUUUAGGACCAGUUUACUCAGAAUAUAACGAUUACAUCCAGAAUAUUAACAUAAUACAAGGGAUAAAAAGCACUCGUCGUUCUUUAGGACAUUGACAUUCAUUCAUUUUACAGUUUGCUCCAUUAAAUAGAAAGACCACAUAUAUGCAGCCAAAAUUAGCUUUAAGAAAAACAAAAAUGCAUAUGUCCUCUUUGCAUCUGCAAAAAGUGUCCAUUAAAUAAUUUUCCUAUUUAUUAAUGUCAAUAUUUAUGUCAACUGUCUGACUUCUUCACACUUGGCUAGAUUUUCCUUUGUAAUUUCACUAUUUUCUCAUCUUCUACAUUUAGCAUUUCAGCUUAAUAACCUGAUACAAAAGCAUGUGCUUUCUUUUUUUCUGCACAAUGAUUUGAGGUAAUUUAUUCCAAAAUCAUCAGGUACAUCAUUCGCAUUGUCAUUUUGUUUGAAGGAUAUAGAGUACACCCACCCUUGGAAAGUAGAGGCAGUAAGUAAUUGCUGUCGUAAGGUCAUUUGGGUCACUAUACCUCGCUGAUACAGCUUAAAACAUGUCUAAGAUGGUUUGCUGGUCUAAGCUGAUUUAGGAUUACCUCUCAGGCUGACCAAGCUGGUCUUCAACUGGUCUCUUCCAGCCUGACCAGCCAAAAAAAUACCUAAAACCACACUGGGAAGCUUGUUAAAACCAGCAGACAGUCUUCAUACUGCUUUAAGCUGUUUUUCCUACCUUAGCCAUCAAGACUUUCUUGGUCAACCAGCUUCACCAGCACCUAAGAAAACCUGGACCAGCUCAAGAAUUCAUGUCUAAACUGGACUUUUGGUCUGGGUACUCAUCGUAAAAAUGAUUACAAUCUCAUCUGUUGAUGAAACCUGAUUCAUUUCUGAAUAGCUCUGCACUAAGUAUCUGAUGCCCCUCAUGUUCGUUUAUAUAUUGACAUCAGCUGCUGAUUUAUUUUUGUCUUUCAAAUUAAAUUUGUUGACAUGCAAUACUUCAUUUUUAAUGAACGUUCUACUGUGAAUUUUGUGCCUAGUUACAUUUCUAGUUUACAGAGAUGAAUGAGAGUGUGAAUUGUAAUGGCAGGUAAAGUUUCAAUGCUGCUUCUGUCAUAGUUUGUGGUUUAAAAAUGUUAAAGGUAAUGCUUGUAUUUGUACAUUAAUCAAUCAUGUAAUAAUGCCUCGUAUGACUGAUAGCCUAAUACCUAACAUUUUAAUGGAUUUCACGGAGAAGGCAAUGAAAAGAUUUCAGUGAUGUGUCGUACUAUUCAGCCAGCAACAUUAAUAGCACUUUUAAAUGAUUAAAUAAUGUCAUGCCUUAUUCACUAUGUCAUCAUGCAUUUCCUAUAAACACAAAUCAGUCAAUAAAUGUGAUACAUGUUUGUAUUUGGCAGCUUUUUUUUAACUAG